UAAAUCUAUUGAAGAGGACUG
rnacentral:piRNA from 1 species